rnacentral:rRNA from 1 species
UAAUAGGGCAUACAUACCCUAAAGGCACCAGAUCUCAUCUUGGAAACUAAGCAAGGUCAGGCCUGAUUAGUACUUGGAUGGGAGACUUCCAAAGAAUACCAGGUGCUGAACUGG